rnacentral:tRNA from 1 species
UUUAAUAUGGCAGAUUAGUGCAAUGAAUUUAAACUUCAUAAAUAAAGAUUUUUCUUUUAUUAAAA